AUGGCGGAUAAGACAUUCCAUGAGUCCACAGAUGGUAGUAUUGGCAGAAGCAUCGCAUAUAGGAUAGGCAAACCCAAACCCAGAGAAUCUCCUUGGUUUCCUGGUCAAAGAACCUUAGAUUUAGAGUUAUGGGAGCAGGGACCUGCAUCUGUUGGCUCCGUCCAGGAAACAGUGCCUCCUAUCCCCCUUGAGGAGAUUGGAGGCCAAUUUCCUAAGGGACAGUUCUUAGAUAAGACCCCUGUGUGUUACUCCACAUUGCCUUAUGUUGUUUGUUGGUAUGCUCUCAGGGUUCAAACCAGUAACAGAGCCUUACAUCUGGUGCCAAAACCCAGGAGGGGUUCCAGUCCAUGUCCCAGUGGACCUACCCCUCCACCCUGGAGAGCAGGCCACUGCAACUGGACAAAGGAAGAUCCUCAGCCUCAUCACCUCUCUGUGUGUCAAUGAGGGCCACUAGUACAGACAAUGCUCACACCCAGAUCUCAUUGGCCUUGCCACUGAAGACUGAUGGUGCCCUGGAACGGACGCCUCAGCAACCACCAUCUCUUCAUCCGAGCCAAGGACACGGAUGUGUUUAUCUCGACCCUCACAAAAAGUUACAAUGGAAGUGGACAGGCCCCUACACUGUGAGACUCAGCAUGCCAAUUGCAGUGAGAGUCCAAGGACUCCCCGGCUGGAUCCAUCAAACCAAGGUCAAGCUUGCCCCCAAGACUACUUCGUCCUCCAAAACGUCAGCAGCAGGCAACACACUCAGAGUCCCUGUGUAUGAUAACCCAAACAGAAAAAACAGUCCUUAAAGUUAACCACCAGACAAUCCAGACGAUCCUCCUGCUACGACAACGUGAUGGAUGCCAACCU